rfam:Natrinema versiforme JCM 10478 contig_13, whole genome shotgun sequence.
GGGCGCUUAGCUCAGUCUGGACAGAGUACUUGGCUUCGGACCAAGCUGUCACGGGUUCAAAUCCUGUAGCGCCCA